UCCAGUGUGGCAUAGUGGUUUGAGUGUUGGACUACAACUCUGGAGACCAGGAUUCAAUUCCCCGUUCACUGGUG
rnacentral:tRNA from 1 species